rnacentral:rRNA from 1 species
UACGGAGGGUGCAAGCGUUAUCCGGAUUCACUGGGUUUAAAGGGUGCGUAGGUGGAAUGGUAAGUCAGUGGUGAAAUCUCCAAGCUUAACUUGGAACUGCCGUUGAUACUAUCAUUCUUGAAUAUCGUGGAGGUGAGCGGAAUAUGUCAUGUAGCGGUGAAAUGCUUAGAUAUGACAUAGAACACCGAUUGCGAAGGCAGCUCACUACACGAUCAUUGACACUGAGGCACGAAAGCGUGGGGAGCAAACAGG